rnacentral:lncRNA from 1 species
AUGGACGGGUCAUGGCCCACUCACUGUCGACCUCCUCUUCCCCCACAGGUUUCAGCGGGCACAGCCGGGAGGCCUCUGCGUCCAGGCACAAACCGCGCAGAAGCCGGGAUGGCUCCCCUCGCAGUCCCGGCAGAGAAACAGGAAACCGAGGGCGGAAGUUCAAGCCACGAGCGGCCCCAGCCGGAGAGAGAGGCCACGACAAGCCCGAGCCCAGCGGAGCACGACGCCCCCAUGAGCGCACAGGAGGUUCUGUUCCCAGCCCGAGGCGCCUGGAGGAGCCAAAGCACCGGCCUAGAUCGCCAGGGAGGACUAGCGGCCCGGAACGCCGAGUUGACGACCUGGAGGAGGGACCCACCUCCCCAAAGCGCCGCCGACGCCUCUCCCCAGAAGCCUGGGUCUCCGUCCCGUGCCCGCUGUCGCGAGUCGUCAACCACCUGGGCGGGCUGGAGGUGGCCCUGGGCGAGCUUUGGGCCCCGGGGGGCGCCUUCCUCCCGGGGCCCGCCGGCGGCACGCAGCCCAGCCCCUCGCAGCGCGCCUGGCUCGCCUGGCAGCUGGCGCACGCCGGGGCCGCCCUGCACUGGGCGCUGGCCACGCUCGACAACCUGCUGGCUGCGGGGCCCUGGCCCGCGGGUCAGCCGCCCUCUGCGCCCGCUCCUGGGCGGCCUCAGGUGCUCACGGGAGCCAGCACCGUCGCCUUGGAAAAGCUCGAACCCUCUGCCCCAGAGGCGAUCCCGACUCUGCACUGCAAACUCUACGGCGCCCUGCAGGGCGGCGGCCUCCUGCGUUCGAAUGCCAGGAGCUCCCUGGCAGCAGCAGAGCAGAAAGAAGCAUGGCCCCGCCCCAGUUCGGCGCCCGGCAAUCUCCCUCCCGCCCGCUCGAGGAGAUAGAUGGCUGCCUGGCUCCGAAAGUCUGGCUCUUGUUCCGGGCAUCCAAAGGAAGACACGGGUUUUCCUUCUGGGGGCUCGCAACAUCUGGGACUUUGACGACUCGGGACCUCUCUCCCAUUGA